rnacentral:lncRNA from 1 species
GCCAUCUCCAUGGUUGUUGAGGUUGUCCUUUUCAGGAUAAAGGAUCAUACUAUAUUUCAGAUUUGUCUGCCUUAAUUUGGUGAUUGCAACUAAACAGUGUUUCCUAUUUGUACCAACAAGAAGAAUUUUAAAAAUUAUUCUUUAGAACAGUUUUAUUCAUUCAGUCAUGAACAUUCCCAGACAUUUGUGGCCUUCUGGAUUCUGAAUAAGGUACUGUCUAGGAGGGGUCCAGUAGAACCAGAAGAGUUUUCUCAGAGAGGAAGCAACAUUUUACAACUGAAUCUUCACUACAUAUACAGAAGAGUCCAAAGUUGGAAACCUAAGCAAUCCAAGAAAUCACUGUCCCUACAGAAGUUAAACAAUAGGAUGCUUUCUCUCCUGCUUUAAUAAAUGGUUGUUAUCUUGCUCUGAAGAUAAUUGAAGCAGUGGACAUCUCAUAUCCUUUUCUACUUAUUGGGCUAGAGUCAGAGUCACCCUGACUCUGACUUAUUUUUUAAUUGAUAAGCUCUUCAAGUCAG